AGUUUGAUCCUGGCUCAGGAUGAACGCUAGCUACAGGCUUAACACAUGCAAGUCGAGGGGCAGCAUGGUCUUAGCUUGCUAAGGCCGAUGGCGACCGGCGCACGGGUGAGUAACACGUAUCCAACCUGCCGUCUACUCUUGGACAGCCUUCUGAAAGGAAGAUUAAUACAAGAUGGCAUCAUGAGUCCGCAUGUUCACAUGAUUAAAGGUAUUCCGGUAGACGAUGGGGAUGCGCUCCAUUAGAUAGUAGGCGGGGUAACGGCCCACCUAGUCUUCGAUGGAUAGGGGUUCUGAGAGGAAGGUCCCCCACAUUGGAACUGAGACACGGUCCAAAUCCUACGGGAGGCAGCAGUGAGGAAUAUUGGUCAAUGGGCGAGAGCCUGAACCAGCCAAGUAGCGUGAAGGAUGACUGCCCUAUGGGUUGUAAACUUCUUUUAUAAAGGAAUAAAGUCGGGUAUGGAUACCCGUUUGCAUGUACUUUAUGAAUAAGGAUCGGCUAACUCCGUGCCAGCAGCCGCGGUAAUACGGAGGAUCCGAGCGUUAUCCGGAUUUAUUGGGUUUAAAGGGAGCGUAGAUGGAUGUUUAAGUCAGUUGUGAAAGUUUGCGGCUCAACCGUAAAAUUGCAGUUGAUACUGGAUAUCUUGAGUGCAGUUGAGGCAGGCGGAAUUCGUGGUGUAGCGGUGAAAUGCUUAGAUAUCACGAAGAACUCCGAUUGCGAAGGCAGCCUGCUAAGCUGCAACUGACAUUGAGGCUCGAAAGUGUGGGUAUCAAACAGGAUUAGAUACCCUGGUAGUCCACACGGUAAACGAUGAAUACUCGCUGUUUGCGAUAUACUGCAAGCGGCCAAGCGAAAGCGUUAAGUAUUCCACCUGGGGAGUACGCCGGCAACGGUGAAACUCAAAGGAAUUGACGGGGGCCCGCACAAGCGGAGGAACAUGUGGUUUAAUUCGAUGAUACGCGAGGAACCUUACCCGGGCUUAAAUUGCAGAUGAAUUACGGUGAAAGCCGUAAGCCGCAAGGCAUCUGUGAAGGUGCUGCAUGGUUGUCGUCAGCUCGUGCCGUGAGGUGUCGGCUUAAGUGCCAUAACGAGCGCAACCCUUGUUGUCAGUUACUAACAGGUUCCGCUGANGACUCUGACAAGACUGCCAUCGUAAGAUGUGAGGAAGGUGGA
rnacentral:rRNA from 1 species